UUACGGCCACAUCACGUUGAAACACUGGUCCCGGUACGAUCACCGAAGUUAAGCAACGUCGAGCCUGGUCAGUACCUAGAUGGGUGGCCGCCUGGGAUAUACCAGGUGC
rnacentral:rRNA from 1 species